GCAGCACUAGUGUUCCAGAGAACAGCCUUUGUAAGAUGUUGCUGCACCGGGCGCUGGGGCGCUGCUCUAGCCUCCUUCGCUGCAGAUAUUUUUAGAAACUGUGCUUUUGAAGUCACCACGAAGAGACAGUCUGCUUUACCCCCUGGAAUGCAUGACUUAGAAUUCUCAUUCUCAGCUGAUUGCCAGAAACCAGUUCACACCAGUGAGAAAAUUCUGAGAUGCUGACACAAAAUGCUGGUGUAAGUGAACAGAAGGAUGUGUUACCAACCAUCCAAAUAGUCCUGAAGAAAGAAUGAGUUGAGCCAAAUACAUCAACAUCAUCCUUAGAACAUCCAUGGGAGUGUCCUGCGUGUCAACCCUAGAAGAGGAAUUCAGCUGGCCUGAGUAUGUUGAAUUCAAGAAGGAAUCUGGAGACAAACACUACAUUAACUUUUACUGAAGGAAUGUUCAUUAGAAGAUGCUCCAUACCAGGUCUCUGGAUUUCUGUGUAUUUCAUAAGCAGAGGCUCUCCUCAGAUGCAUAAAUCAAGGUCAGCAAACUGAGCUGUGAGUCAUAGCUACCUCUCCCCAUUAUUCUGUAAAUAAAAGUGGCUUUUGUUUGUUUGUUCAUUUUAAUGUGGCUCCUGUCAUAUUUCUCCAUAUUGUCUAUGGCUGCAUUAGUCCUGUACCUGUAGGGUACUGUAACUGCCAUAGGGACAAAACAGCCUGGAAUCUAAAAUAUUUACUUCCUUUCUGUGUGAGAAAAUAGUCCCUUCCUUUCUGAAAGCAGAAAGUACUGGUGUAUUAUUUCUGAAAGCAGAAAGUACAGGAAAGAACAUUUGACUAAGUGAAAGAAGCCAUUGUCAAAGGACCCGACAUCACAAUUCCCUUUAUAUAUGUAUGGGGUGGGCAAAUCUAUGGAGACAGGAUGUUAAUGAUGGCUUCUAGACUGGGGCUUGAAAAAAUGUGAGUGACUAUCACUUGACCUGGUGGGCUUUGUUGGUGGUGGAUGUUGGUUUGUUUUUAAUGAAAUGGUCUCAAGGUUGAACAUUGGUAAAAAAAAAAAAAUUUGGAAAAUUCUGUGACUACACCCCAACAACUGACUUGCAUCUUUUAAGUUGGUGAAUUUGAGAGAUGAAGUAUAUCUUAAGUUUUAUCUUGAGACAAAGUGUGAGGAGUUGCUAUCUUCUAAUUGAGAAUCAUGAAGUCAGAGUCCCAAAAUGUAGAGCAACUUUAUCUUAUUAGUUAUGUGCUUGUAUCAGAAGUGAUCAAGGGUGAGCUCUGCAUGUGACAUGGACCACUCUGUUCACCUGUGACUUGACAUGGUGGCAAUAAAGACUGGGAUCAUCUACACCUGCCAGCUGGAGGACAUCCAUGUGAUGUAACAAUGUAGCAACUCCAGGGCAGGGAACUUAUGAUACAUAAUUUCAAGGGAGAAAGCAGCAGCCACAGCAGCAGCAGCAGAAAGAGGAGGCUCUUUUAUACCCAUUCCUUGUGCUUCUCACAUCUCUCCCACUCAGUGGGAGGAGAUGCAGAGACUUUCAACAGCCACCCAUUUCCCAUACUCUGUGUCAUGUCCAUAACACAGCUCCUCAUAAGUCAAGGCAACAAGAACUGAAUCUAGCCAAAGAAUUGAUGCAUUUAAAGUUGCAUGGGAAUUAGUUAUAUUAAUUUCUCUUUGCAUUUUACCAUGUAACUUCAUUCUUACAGCCUAUGAAGCUGGAAUUUGCAAUCCUCCCCUUUUUAUUUCGCAGAAGGGUCAGAUGACCCAAGCAAAUCAUUCUUAAAAACAGCAGCAGCAGCAAAACCCAACCUUAGUUUAUGCAUAUGAGUGCUUUCCCUAUAUAGAUGUAUAUGCAUCACAGGCAUGGCUGGUGCCCUUAGAGGUGAGAAGAGGCCACUGGGUCCCCUGGAACUGGAGUUAUAGAUAGUUGUGAGGCACCCUCUGGAUUCUGGGAACUGAACCCAUCAAGUGCUCUUAACUGCUGAACCAUCUCUCUCUCCAGCCAAGCAAGUUGUCAUUCUUAUCGCCUUUAUAGAGCAGCCAAAAGAAAUCUGCUGUUUUCUUUCAUGGGAAAUAGUUCUUCUAAACACAGAAAGGAUUUUAGCUGCAUAUGUGGGUAAUUGGAGCAAUCUGAAAUAGAAACUGACAGCUAUAUGCUGUCUUCUAUUUUCUCUUCAAAUAGAAAUACAAUUGGUGUUUAUAACUUUUUGAAGAUUUUAUUAUUGUGUGUUUACACUUGUGUCUGUGAUUGUAUGUGUCCUUGGAAGCCAAAAGAUUAUGUCAGAUGAAUGGGAGUUGCAGUUACAGGCAAUUGUGAACUGUCCAUGGACUCUGGUAAUCUACAUCCCCUGCAAGAGCAGCAAGUGCUUUUAACCACUGGGCCAUCUCUCCAGCCCAUGUGUUUACUUCUUUAAGUUAUAUUUACUCCAGAUGUGUGGGAAAGCCCACACUGUGGAGGAAUUUUUAAAACUGUGUUCUUUGCCAGAUCCAAGUGGGUGGUUGUACCAAGAAAUGUAAUGAAAUGUAGAGCAAACUUUUAUUGCUCUUCCUGUGCCAAACAGAUGUGAGAAGAUGUGAAAUAAAUGCAAGGUCUCCUUGAAGGGCUAAGGUAGGACGUCCCAGAACAAACUGCUUGUCACUCUAAGCCAUGUGCAAACAGUUCAGAAGCAGAGUCAAGAAGGAGUUUUUGAAGGUUAGAAAUGAGAAAGACCACGACUGUCCA